UGGUUGGGAAAGAGCAGAUAAAUCUGAGGAAUUUGAAUUCCCAUAUACACCUAAAACAUUGUUAAUUGAUGCAGCUUCUUUAUAUAUAAACUGGAACAGUUGCCUCUCAUUGGAAUUUCAGUUGUUCUCAGGACUCACUUCCAUCAGCUUAUAUGUUCUGCAGGUCGAUAAGAAGAAUUAGAUGCCAGCAGAGUUCAAAUGGAGAAGUAUAAAUACUAAUCUGAAAUGAAAUAGCCUAUCUGCUGAAAGAGAUGUAGUAUCUUGCUGAUCAGCAUCAAUAAAAGUCCAGAGAGCAUGAAAGGGAUUCUAAAAUUUUUAGGUCCAGGAGCAUGGAAUAUAAGACCAAUAUGGGUUUAAUUUAUUGAAAUAAAUGUACUCACUCAGCAGCCAGGAUUUGUGUUGGUUUAAACACACUGAAAGUAAAUAGUAAUAGUUUGCUUGGAUGAAGAAUUGAAGGCAGACCUACAGUCAAUGAAAUUGAGAUGCUGGAAUUUGCAAGGCACACUGAACAGGAAAGUUGCCUGAAGGCCUAGAACAUGUUGGAAUGAAUGUAUUACGUGCUAUCUGCUUAACCAGUCCCUAACUUCAACUCUAGGGAAGCCUGAGGGAUACUUGCUUCUCUAAGCCUUCUUAGAAAGGUGACUGUCCUUUUGCAGCCUAGAAAUAAAUUCUACUAUGGAAUUGAGCGCCCCAGUUUCCAUGAGAGCAGUGGAAUCUUGAGAUCCUAGAGUAAUAAAGGUACUUACCUGUUAGCACAGAGAUAAGCACAAUUAUCAUAAUACACUUUAGAGAGCACAGAGUACUCUCCCAAGCUAAUUGACCAAAGGAUCUCUAGGAAUUAAAUAGGGGGAGCUACAGAACAGGCAGCAUUAGCCAAACAUAUUUGCCGGUGGGACCUAUUUUUCAGGCACAUUGGUAGAAUCUCCCUAAGGAAAAACAGGACACUUGUAAGUUUCCUGAGGCCAUGUGAAACUCUUAAAAUGAUCAGUUCUGAGAUUUAUCAACAAAAGAGUUCAUUGGAGGAAAAUUACUUUUCUUGAAAGAAAGAAAGAAAGAAAAAGGAAUGAAGAAGAGGAAAAAGGAAGAGGAGGAGGGAGAGAGAACGGGAGUGUUGCUUAAUUGCCCAGGCUAGAAUGCAGUCUAAAAAUGGGUAUUGAAAACCUCCCUUAUACCAUCAAUCAUGCUUAAUAAUGGCCAACCAAUAUUUCAUUUAAACCUGUGAGUAGGUGUGAUGUGGUACUGAUAAGAGUGCGUAUCUUGUGUGUUUAAAGUAGAGAGUUCUAUAAAUGUUUAUUAAGUUUACUUGUUCCAGAUCUGAGUUCAAGUCCAGGAUAUCCUUAUUAAUUUUCUGUCUCAUUGAUGUAUCUAAUAUUGAUGUUGAAUUCUCCCACUACUACUACUGUGCGGGAGUCCAAGUCUCUUUACAAGUCUUAUGUAUCCUGUAUUGGGUGGGUACACAUCCAGGAUCGUCAGCUCUUCUUGUUACAUUGAUCCUUUUACCAUUAUGUCCUCUUUUGAUCUUUGUUGCUUUAAAAUCCAUUGUAUUAAAGCAUUUUUUCAUGACUUUAUAAACAAAUUUAUGAUGCACAUGAGCUCUCUGGUAUCUUUUCUUGUAAGAAUAUUAAUCCUGUCA